UAUACAUGAACUUACGGUUACAGCUCAACAGCUGGCCUCUGUAGCUCAGUUGGUUAGAGCGCUGCACCGGAAUCGCAGGGCCGUGGGUUCAAUUCCUACCAGAGGACCUUGUGCUGCAUUUUUCGCAGUCGUUCCUGGUCAGGUCUUAAAAUGUAUAUAAUCACUUGGAUUACAAACCCUAACAUUCUAAUAUUAAUUCCACCAAGUGAAGUGCAAGAAACCACAUCAUUCAAGUGUAUAAUGUCCCUGUAGUUUACUGAAGCCAAAUGCGGACUUUGUGUAGCUUUAAAUGUCGAAAGAGCACAGUUUGUUGCGUUUUUUGUCGCCAUUGAGUAUUUGAAGCAAAAGUUUAAUUCAGACUCAGAAAAAGCUGUGAAACGUUGUGUCGUUUUUGCCCCGUUGUCGUUUGUUGGCUGCUUUUGCAGUUCGUUUUUGGUUUACUUCUUCUUGCUUUCCUGCUGAACUUUGGAUUUGAAAACUCCAUUAAUUUUGUAGCCUACGCCGCAUACUUCAAAACACAUGUUUUAUCAGUCUCCAAAUUAGUGAAACGAUCCUUGUUCAAAUUUCGAAAUGAGUACUAGAUCCUGAUUGGCACAUACUGAGUUCCACCUUACAGUACAUGCAUGAUUCUGAUUGGGCAAUCAUUAGCCGGUAUGUCCAAAUGCAAACAAAAACAAAUCUAAAUAUACCGCCAAAAAUUUUCUCCAUAUAGGUUUUCCAUGCAUGCGUAUACAGCUAUUUCAAUUUAGGUUGUCCACGAGCAAAGCGGAAAAGUCGAAUACGAGCGCGAAAGGCUGCUGGGAACCGAUUUGAAAAUUCAUUAAUUUGUUAGCGAUUCCCAGC